rnacentral:rRNA from 1 species
CCUACGGGUGGCAGCAGUGAGGAAUAUUGGUCAAUGGGCGUAAGCCUGAACCAGCCAAGUCGCGUGAGGGAUGAAGGUUCUAUGGAUCGUAAACCUCUUUUAUAAGGGAAUAAAGUGCGGGACGUGUCCCGUUUUGCAUGUACCUUAUGAAUAAGGAUCGGCUAACUCCGUGCCAGCAGCCGCGGUAAUACGGAGGAUCCGAGCGUUAUCCGGAUUUAUUGGGUUUAAAGGGUGCGUAGGCGGCCUUUUAAGUCAGCGGUGAAAGUCUGUGGCUCAACCAUAGAAUUGCAGUUGAAACUGGGAGGCUUGAGUAUGUUUGAGGCAGGCGGAAUGCGUGGUGUAGCGGUGAAAUGCUUAGAUAUCACGAAGAACCCCGAUUGCGAAGGCAGCCUGCCAAGCCAUGACUGACGCUGAUGCACGAAAGCGUGGGUAUCAAACAGGAUUAGAUACCCCUGUAGUC